GUUGGUGAACCAGCGGAGGGAUCAUUACCAGAGUGCCCUAGGCUCUCCAACCCAUUGUGAACUUACCAAACGUUCCCUCGGCGGGCUCAGCGCGCGGUGGCCUCCGGGCCUCCGGGCGUCCGCCGGGGAAAACCAAACCCUGAUUUAAUCGUAUUUCUCUGAGGGGCGAAAGCCCGAAAACAAAAUGAAUCAAAACUUUCAACAACGGAUCUCUUGGCUCUG
rnacentral:misc_RNA from 1 species